AUCAGAAAGAGACUAGGCGGCGGAGCGAAGCACACCAUUAGAAGAGGAAAAUGAGUGAACUGGAUCAGCUACGCCAGGAGGCUGAGCAGCUCAAGAACCAGAUCAGAGAUGCCAGGAAAGCGUGUGCGGAUGCUACCCUGUCUCAGAUCACAGCUAACAUCGACCCUGUUGGCCGAAUUCAGAUGCGCACUAGACGGACACUGAGGGGGCAUCUGGCUAAAAUCUAUGCCAUGCACUGGGGCACUGACUCGAGGUAAUCUCAUUCAACUCCAUUCUG